UGCACUAGCGUGGGAACGAGAAGACACUC
rnacentral:piRNA from 1 species